UUGCUCCAUCUAGGCGAACGGGUGAGUAACACGUGGGCAACCUGCCCUCAGCUCUGGGAUAACCCCGGGAAACCGGAGCUAAUACCGGAUACGACCUCCAUUGGCAUCAGCGGAGGUGGAAAGAAUUUCGGCUGAGGAUGGGCCCGCGGCCUAUCAUGCUUGUUGGUGGGGUAACGGCCUACCAAGGCGACGACGGGUAGCCGGCCUGAGAGGGCGACCGGCCACACUGGGACUGAGACACGGCCCAGACUCCUACGGGAGGCAGCAGUGGGGAAUAUUGGACAAUGGGCGAAAGCCUGAUCCAGCAAUGCCGCGUGAGUGAUGAAGGCCUUAGGGUCGUAAAGCUCUGUGGGGAGAGACGAAGAAAGCCCGUGAAGAGCGGGCCUUGACGGUAUCUCCUUAGCAAGCACCGGCUAACUCCGUGCCAGCAGCCGCGGUAAU
rnacentral:rRNA from 1 species